UGAGGAAAAACAGCAAGAGAAGAUAAGAUGUGAGGAGGGGAUGUUCUGAUCAGGAUUAUGGUGGAGCUUUACACUGAAAAUAUUUUGUGCUAGCACUUCAAUGAAAGUUUACAACAACAUGGAACUGAAUCCUACAUUGUCAACCGUAAAGGUAUAAGAGGGGAAGGGCAGACUACAGCUGCUGGAAAUAUUUCAGUCAUUAGGAGGAAAAGCAGAAACUGACACUAAUCUGGAGAAAAAGCAACCAAUGAUAUUCAGAUCAAUGAUGAAAAUAUUGAAUGGCAGCUGGCCUCCUUUGGAAAUCCUGGGAGCUGGAGGCCCUCCUCAUAACUACCGCUGUAGAAAUUGAAUGGGUGGCAAUAUCAGUAGCAUCAAGGGAGGCCUGGAAAGAUAUUCUGGUG